CCUACGGGUGGCAGCAGUCGAGAAUCAUUCACAAUGGGGGAAACCCUGAUGGUGCGACGCCGCGUGGGGGAAUGAAGGUCUUCGGAUUGUAAACCCCUGUCAUGUGGGAGCAAAUUAAAAAGAUCGUACCACAAGAGGAAGAGACGGCUAACUCUGUGCCAGCAGCCGCGGUAAUACAGCGGUCUCAAGCGUUGUUCGGAAUCACGGGGCGUAAGGCGUGCGUAGGCUGUUUCGUAAGUCGUGUGUGAAAGGCGCGGGCUCAACCCGCGGACGGCACAUGAUUCUGCGAGACUAGAGUAAUGGAGGGGGAACCGGAAUUCUCGGUGUAGCAGUGAAAUGCGUAGAUAUCGAGAGGAACACUCGUGGCGAAGGCGGGUUCCUGGACAUUAACUGACGCUGAGGCACGAAGGCCAGGGGAGCGAAAGGGAUUAGAUACCCUAGUAGUC
rnacentral:rRNA from 1 species